rnacentral:tRNA from 1 species
GCCAACGUAGCUCAACGGUAGAGCACUGGUUUUGUAAACCAGCGGUUAAGGGUUCGAUUCCCUUCGUUGGCU